rnacentral:rRNA from 1 species
AGUAACGGCGAGUGAACGGAGAUUAGCCCAGCACCGAAGCCUAUUCGUGCAUACGAACAAGGCAAUGUGGUGUUCAGGCAUCAUUCUUAGGCGGCUCGUCUACUCGAAGUCCAACUCCGAUUAUGGCUUGGAUUUUUCCCAUAGAGGGUGAAAGGCCCGUUCGAGUAGGCAUUGUUGUUUUGAGCUGUCUUUCGAUAUGCAUGCUUUGGAGUCGGAUUGCUUGAGAAUGCAGUCCAAAGUGGGUGGUAAACUCCAUCCAAGGCUAAAUACUGGCACGAGUCCGAUAGUAGACAAGUACCGUGAGGGAAAGUUGAAAAGUACUCUGAAGAGAGAGUAAAUAGUACGUGAAGCCGACUGAAUGGAAGCUGGUGGAGUCAAGCUUCUAGCUUGAAGAAUUGGCGCGGAGACCCUAUUGUCAUUGUAGAGUGUGUAUUGAUUGGCUUGUAAAUGGCUGGGUACUUCGGUACCUUUAGUUAUCCGGGCUGGUUACUAUUGUUUGUUCACGCUCUGCGGUCACUCGUGCUAUUUCUUCUUGCUUGUAUCACGGUCAAUGCUAUCGUGGUGUGUGUAUGUCUAACCAGGUUGCUGCUAGCAUCAGCUAGCGUGGCUUGGAACGGCAGGGGGUGGUUGCUUAGUCUCGGCUGGGCAAUCAUGUAUGCUGAUGUACACGCUGUUAAUACCAUCGAGUGCAUUGUUUAUAUUUCCUCAAUAUCCAUAAGGGUAGUUGAGCUGAGAGCCGUGAUUCUGAAGUAGAUUUCCACCGGACCCGUCUUGAAACACGGACCAAGGAGUUUAACUUGCUCGCAAGUCAUUGGAUUCUUCAUUAAAUCCAAAGGCGCAAUGAAAGUAAACGGUUGCUUCUCGUAAUCGAAGGUGCGAUCUUAGUUUGUCGUGACAAUGACUUCUGAGCGUAGCACCGGCCCGUCUCGUAAUGUAGUCAUGCUUGCUACUGGCUUGUGUGCAUCAUUGAGGCGGCGCAAGAGCGAGCAGGUUGAGACCCGAAAGAUGGUGAACUAUGCUUGCGUAGGUUGAAGCCAGAGGAAACUCUGGUGGAUGACCGUCGCGGUUUUGACGUGCAAAUCGAUCGUCAAACGUGAGCAUAGGGGCGAAAGACUAAUCGAACCAUCUAGUAGCUGGUUCCCUCCGAAGUUUCCCUCAGGAUAGCUGGCGCUCAUUUAUUACAGUUUUAUCCGGUAAAGCGAAUGAUUAGAGGUAUUGGGGACUAUAUGUUCUCAACCUAUUCUCAAACUAUAAAUGGGUACGAUGCAUGGCUCGCUUAAUUGGAGUUGUGCAUUGAAUGUGAGUGCCAAGUGGGCCAUUUUUGGUAAGCAGAACUGGCGCUGUGGGAUGCUCCGAACGUCAAGAUAAGGUGCCAAAUGUUGGCGCUCAUGAGACACCACAAAAGGUGUUAAUGCAUAUAGACAGCAGGACGGUGGCCAUGAAAGUCGGUACCCGCUAAGGA